UGCAUGGCCGAUCUUAGUUGCUGGAGUGAUUUGUCUGGUUAAUUCCGAUAACGAACGAGAC
rnacentral:ncRNA from 1 species